rnacentral:rRNA from 1 species
AGAGUUUGAUCCUGGCUCAGAACGAACGCUGGCGGCAUGCCUAACACAUGCAAGUCGAACGAGAUCUUCGGGUCUAGUGGCGCACGGGUGCGUAACGCGUGGGAAUCUGCCCUUUGGUUCGGAAUAACAGUUGGAAACGACUGCUAAUACCGGAUGAUGACGAAAGUCCAAAGAUUUAUCGCCAGAGGAUGAGCCCGCGUAGGAUUAGCUAGUUGGUGUGGUAAAGGCGCACCAAGGCGACGAUCCUUAGCUGGUCUGAGAGGAUGAUCAGCCACACUGGGACUGAGACACGGCCCAGACUCCUACGGGAGGCAGCAGUGGGGAAUAUUGGACAAUGGGCGAAAGCCUGAUCCAGCGAUGCCGCGUGAGUGAUGAAGGCCUUAGGGUUGUAAAGCUCUUUUACCCGGGAUGAUAAUGACAGUACCGGAGAAUAG